CAUGCAUAAUGAAGAUAAAAUUAUCAUCUUCUUUCCUGCUAACACACCUUAGCUGUUUGGUAGAUCCGGGAAGGAAGGAACCAAACUUUGCCCGAGUGUCUAAAGAAGGAAUUCAGGCUUACAAUGAACCUGCUUAGAUCUGUGGUAUCCGAAGAUGUUUAUGAGGGAAUCCGAGCUUUUAGCAUUGACAAAGAUAAUGCUCCCAAGUGGAACCCUCCUACCCCUGGGGAAGUAAGCAAUGAAAAAAUUGAUCUCAUUUUCAAACCAUUCAGUCCAGAAUUGGAGUUACAUUUACCAGCUGAGGGAGA